UGGGGAAUAUUGGACAAUGGGCGAAAGCCUGAUCCAGCCAUGCCGCGUGUGUGAAGAAGGUCUUCGGAUUGUAAAGCACUUUAAGCUGGGAGGAAGGGCAGUAAGCGAAUACCUUGCUGUUUUGACGUUACCGACAGAAUAAGCACCGGCUAACUCUGUGCCAGCAGCCGCGGUAAUACAGAGGGUGCAAGCGUUAAUCGGAAUUACUGGGCGUAAAGCGCGCGUAGGUGGUUCGUUAAGUUGAAUGUGAAAGCCCCGGGCUCAACCUGGGAACUGCAUCCAAAACUGGCGAGCUAGAGUGGGGCAGAGGGUGGUGGAAUUUCCUGUGUAGCGGUGAAAUGCGUAGAUAUAGGAAGGAACACCAGUGGCGAAGGCGACCACCUGGGCUCAUACUGACACUGGGGUGCGAAAGCGUGGGGAGCAAACGGG
rnacentral:rRNA from 1 species